GCGGGGGUAGCCCAGCUUGGUCAACGGCGAUAGGAUGAGGUCCUAUUCCUUAGUGGUUCGCAGGUUCAAAUCCUGCCCCCCGCACCA
rnacentral:tRNA from 1 species